CCAUCUUAUGGCUGCCUUUUUGUUUACAAUUUGAAAGCCUUGUGCGUUUCUCGAGCACUACUGUACAUAGAAGAAGCCUGCGGGCACUCGAAAAGCAACAGGAUAGUUUACAUCAGUCAGGUGUAUCGUUACGUUUUUCUCAUGGUUAUUUAUUCAUUCAUUUCAAAUGAUCACAGUUUCUUGUAUCCAUAAAUUUUCACGUUUUUCCGAUGUACGCAAAAUUCCGCCCAAUUAAGCAUUUAAGGCACCACCAUAUCACAGAAUGACCUCCUUUUUUUUUUCUUGGUUCUUGUUGAAUUCCUAUCACUUGUUCAACUGUGUUAGAAUGAUGUAUGCAAAAAAUUGGACAAAUCAUGACAUAUAGACCUGAGAUAUUCAUGAAGAAGAUGCUUUUUCUAAAAGAAUCUGCAAACAGAGCUGGUUGCUUGGCGGGUUGACCGGUGUUUUGUUCGCAAUGGGAGCAAGAUGGGUCAUGAAAUUGAUGGCACUGCUUGAGAUGAUUUCUUCAUCUCCAAUACAC
rnacentral:lncRNA from 1 species